GGGGGCGUGGCGGAAUGGUAGACGCAACGGACUUAAAAUCCGUUGACCGCAAGGUCGUAAGGGUUCAAGUCCCUUCGCCCCCA
rnacentral:tRNA from 1 species